AUUGAACGCUGGCGGCAUGCCUAACACAUGCAAGUCGAACGGAGGUAGGGGCAACUCUACUUCAGUGGCGGACGGGUGAGGAAUGCGUCGGAAUCUACCCUAUGAUGGGGGAUAACACAGGGAAACUUGUGCUAAUACCGCAUGAUGUCGAGAGACCAAAGCAGGGGACCGCAAGGCCUUGCGCGAUAGGAUGAGCCGACGCCCGAUUAGCUAGUUGGUAGGGUAAAGGCCUACCAAGGCGACGAUCGGUAGCUGGUCUGAGAGGAUGAUCAGCCACACGGGUACUGAGACACGGACCCGACUCCUACGGGAGGCAGCAGUAAGGAAUAUUGGUCAAUGGAGGAAACUCUGAACCAGCUAUCCCGCGUGAAGGAUGAAGGGGCUCUGCCUUGUAAACUUCUUUUGUCUGGGGCGAAAAAGACUCGUUUACGAGUAACUGACGGUACCAGAAGAAUAAGCACCGGCUAACUCCGUGCCAGCAGCCGCGGUAAAUGACGUC
rnacentral:rRNA from 1 species